rnacentral:tRNA from 1 species
GUCCUCGUAGCUCAGUGGAUAGAGCGUCUCGUUGCGGACGAGAAGGUCGUAGGUUCAAAUCCUGCCGAGGAUACUA